rnacentral:rRNA from 1 species
AAUUCGAUUAGUUUGAUCAUGGCUCAGGACGAACGCUGGCGGCGCGCUUAAUACAUGCAAGUCGAGCGAGAACCAGCCCUUCGGGGCUGGGGAAAGCGGCGAACGGGUGAGUAACACGUGGGUAAUCUGCCCUCGGCACCGGGAUAGCCCGGGGAAACCCGGAUUAAUACCGGAUAGCCUCUCGAGCUCUCGAGCUCGCGAGAAAAGGUAGCUUUGGCCUCUGGCCGAGGAGGAGCCCGCGGCGGAUUAGCUUGUUGGUGAGGUAACGGCCCACCAAGGCGACGAUCCGUAGCUGGUCUGAGAGGACGAUCAGCCACACUGGGACUGAGACACGGCCCAGACUCCUACGGGAGGCAGCAGUAGGGAAUCUUGCGCAAUGGGCGGAAGCCUGACGCAGCGACGCCGCGUGCGGGAAGAAGGCCUUCGGGUUGUAAACCGCUUUCAGGAGGGACGAAGCCACUCGGGUUAAUAGCCCAGAGGGUGACGGUACCUCCAGAAGAAGCCCCGGCUAACUACGUGCCAGCAGCCGCGGUAAUACGUAGGGGGCAAGCGUUGUCCGGAUUUAUUGGGCGUAAAGCGCGUGUAGGCGGCCAGGUAGGUCCGUUGUGAAAACUCGAGGCUCAACCUCGAGACGUCGACGGAAACCAUCUGGCUAGAGUCCGGAAGAGGAGAGUGGAAUUCCUGGUG